UAGGGAAUCUUCCGCAAUGGACGCAAGUCUGACGGAGCAACGCCGCGUGAGUGAAGAAGGAUUUCGGUUCGUAAAACUCUGUUGUUAGAGAAGAACAGCGCAUAGAGUAACUGUUAUGCGUGUGACGGUAUCUAACCAGAAAGCCACGGCUAACUACAUGCCAGCAGCCGCGGUAAUACGUAGGUGGCAAGCGUUGUCCGGAUUUAUUGGGCGUAAAGCGAGCGCAGGCGGUCAAUUAAGUCUGAUGUGAAAGCCCCCGGCUCAACCGGGGAGGGUCAUUGGAAACUGGUUGACUUGAGUGCAGAAGAGGAGAGUGGAAUUCCAUGUGUAGCGGUGAAAUGCGUAGAUAUAUGGAGGAACACCAGUGGCGAAGGCGACUCUCUGGUCUGUAACUGACGCUGAGGCUCGAAAGCGUGGGUAGCAAACAGG
rnacentral:rRNA from 1 species